rnacentral:rRNA from 1 species
CUACGGGCGGCAGCAGUGGGGAAUUUUGCGCAAUGGGCGAAAGCCUGACGCAGCAACGCCGCGUGCGGGAUGAAGGCCUUCGGGUCGUAAACCGCUGUCAAGUGGGAAGAACCCUGACGGUACCACUGAAGGAAGCCCCGGCUAACUUCGUGCCAGCAGCCGCGGUAAUACGAAGGGGGCAAGCGUGGUUCGGAAUCAUUGGGCGUAAAGCGUAUGUAGGCGGCUGGAUAAGUCGGGCGUGCAAGCCCGCGGCUCAACCGCGGAAUUGCGCUCGAAACUGUCCGGCUUGAGUGCAGGAGAGGAAAGCGGAAUUCCCAGUGUAGCGGUGAAAUGCGUUGAUAUUGGGAAGAACACCAGUGGCGAAGGCGGCUUUCUGGCCUGCAACUGACGCUGAGAUACGAAAGCCAGGGGAGCGAACGGGAUUAGAUACCCUGGUAGUC